rnacentral:tRNA from 1 species
UCCCUGGUGGUCCAUUGGUUAGGACUCUGCACUCUCACUGCGGAGGGUCCGGAUUCAAUCCCUGAUCAGGGAA